GCAGCUUUUCUCACCAUCCUCGCUGCUAUCUCUCUUAUCAUUCAUUUGAACAAAGGGAGGCCAGCAGAGAGAGCCAGACCGCGACAAUCUGACCC